CGUGGCGUAGCUCAGAGGAUAGAGCGCCUCGCUUUCGACCUGGGUGGUGCGUGACACCGCUAUCUAGGGGCGAGGAGGUCGCAGGUUCAAGUCCUGCCGUCACGUCCA
rnacentral:tRNA from 3 species